rnacentral:rRNA from 1 species
UACGAGGGGAGCUAGCGUUGUUCGGAAUUACUGGGCGUAAAGCGCGCGUAGGCGGCUUUUUAAGUCAGAGGUGAAAGCCCGGGGCUCAACCCCGGAAUAGCCUUUGAAACUGGAAAGCUAGAAUCUUGGAGAGGUCAGUGGAAUUCCGAGUGUAGAGGUGAAAUUCGUAGAUAUUCGGAAGAACACCAGUGGCGAAGGCGACUGACUGGACAAGUAUUGACGCUGAGGUGCGAAAGCGUGGGGAGCAAACAGG